AGGCGUUUGUGUAUGUGAAGCACUAUUCAAAGUUUAGACACACGUCCUCAUUGAAUCAAUGAGAAAAUGUUUAUGUUCCUCAUUCUGGAGGUUCUGGAAGUUUGAGGAACCGAAUGCAGCAGCUAUGUGUUCAUUUGACAGUUAUAGAUCAGCUGACAGUCACAGAUCAGCUGACAGACAUCCUGGAGAACUGGUUCCUUCACUAUAUAAACUACAACUGAUUUCAGGAACGAGGAUUAGGUUGAACUUCAGACCGAGUAGUUUACUUGUUGAAGAGCUUCUGUUCACAGGACUCAAGACAUCCAAGAUACGGGGGUUUGGUGUCUUGCUCAAGGACACUCCCGCAUGGAGCAGCCGGGACUCAAACCACCAACCUCCUGCGCCACCGCCGACCCAAACGCUGCGUCACCGGGUUGGUUUCGACUGUGGGACCCGGAAAGAGACCAGUCUGCGGUGGGAGACUUGCUCUGGUCAGCUGGGCGUGUUCAGGGAGGAGAUGAUCUGCAGCAUCCUGGUGAUCUUCAUCCUGA